GUUCUUGGCAAUACACCAGGAAAGCAUCUCUGCUGUUUUCAAAUUCAGGUGCCUAGUGGACUGAUGUCUCCCACUUAGGCACAGAGGCAGUGAGAGGAACCCAGACCUCCCCUUUCCUCAUGAAACCAGACCAGACCAAUCCUCCUGUGCUUUUACACUUCAGGCCAGUGAAGAUUGUGCCCCCUCUUCUUUUGACAGUAGGGUUGAAGACUUCUCCUUCUGAAGCUUGUAAUUACAGCAAUAACACAAAGGGUAAGAUACAUCUUGCUUUGAGGGAAACACUGAUCCCAGUGCCUCUGUUUAAGAGCAUGACAUCUGUGAGAGCUACAGCUUUGCUCUGAAAUGGAAAGAGCCUCCUGUCCGUGGCUUUUGGAUGAUGGACUAUGUUGCAUUUUCAGGGAGGGUUGGGGGGCUUCAAGACUUUCAGUCUUGAAGACAGAAGAACCCCCCACUGUCCUGUGCUGGGUGAAGAACCAAUGAAAACAGGGAAUUGAUGCUGGCUGCUGGAUCUGGGAUCCUGCAAACCAGGUCCAUUUCUACAGUGAUUUUCAAAGAGAUGGACAUGCAAAGUGGAAAAGAGAAGAUGUGGAAAUGUGGCAAUCCUUUGAUCCUUUCCAAGAUUUUCCAUUACAAAGCGCAGGGAGAAGUCCAGAAUCAGCUGUAAGAGACAAGUACAACCGGUGUUUGAUGGAAGUUGUCUGCUAUCAUCCCAGAUGGAUAAAAAUAGAAGUUGCUGAAAUGCUGGAGCUGAGUCAGAAGGCCAGAGGAUACCAUCCACAGGACUUAAUUCUCAAUCUUGAUAACAGGCUCAGAGCAGGACUCCAAGAAGAGCUGUUGUAG
rnacentral:lncRNA from 1 species